CAGACUGUAGUUUAUUAAAACAAUAACUUUGGGAGUUAUAAAUCAACCUCUAAUCAUUUGCAGUCUGA
rnacentral:tRNA from 1 species